UACAGAGGUCUCAAGCGUUGUUCGGAUUCAUUGGGCGUAAAGGGCGCGUAGGCGGCCUGACAAGUGGAUGGUGAAAUCCCUCGGCUUAACCGAGGAACUGCCAUCCAGACUGUUUGGCUUGAGACCGGGAGAGGUGAGUGGAAUUCCCAGUGUAGCGGUGAAAUGCGUAGAUAUUGGGAGGAACACCAGUGGCGAAGGCGGCUCACUGGACCGGUACUGGACGCUGAGGCGACGGAAAGCGGUGGGGAGCAAACAGGG
rnacentral:rRNA from 1 species